rnacentral:ncRNA from 1 species
CAGUGCCGCCCGAAAGGGCGGGUAAUAGGGAACCGGGUGGAAAUCCCGGGCGAUCCGGUCACUGUGAGCGGGGAGCGGCGCAGAAAAUCCAUUGUGCUCAUGCAGCACGAGAAGGGCCGCGCUGAGCGACGAGCCGCGAGCCAGGAAACCUGCUGGGAGAAAA